CAGUAGCCGCGGUAAUACGAAGGGUGCAAGCGUUACUCGGAAUUACUGGGCGUAAAGCGUGCGUCGGUGGUGGUUUAAGUCCGUUGUGAAAGCCCUGGGCUCAACCUGGGAAUUGCAGUGGAUACUGGGUCACUAGAGUGUGGUAGAGGAUAGUGGAAUUUCCGGUGUAGCAGUGAAAUGCGUAGAGAUCGGAAGGAACAUCUGUGGCGAAGGCGACUAUCUGGGCCAACACUGACACUGAGGCACGAAAGCGUGGGGAGCAAACAGGAUUAGAUACCCCCGUAGUCCCUGUCUCUUAUAC
rnacentral:rRNA from 1 species